rnacentral:rRNA from 1 species
ACCUGAUGCCUCCAGGGCCGGAGCUAAUGCGUUAAGUGCACCGCCUGGGGAGUAUGCUCGCAAGGCUAAAACUCAAAGGAAUUGACGGGGGCUCACACAAGCGUUGGAGCAUGUUGUUCAAUUCGAAGCAACGCGAAGAACCUUACCUGGGCUUGACAUGCUAGUAGUACAAACCCGAAAGGGGCCGGAUCUCUUAACCGAGAAGCUAGCACAGGUGCUGCAUGGCUGUCGUCAGCUCGUGUCGUGAGACGUUGGGUUAAGUCCCGUAACGAGCGAAACCCUUGUCGUCUGUUGCUACCGGGUCAUGCCGGGCACUCUGGCGAGACUGCCGGUGUUAAACCGGAGGAAGGCGGGGACGACGUCAAGUCAUCAUGGUCCUUACGUCCAGGGCUACAAACGUGCUACAAUGGCGGGUACAGAGAGAAGCGAUACCGCGAGGUGGAGCAAAUCUUCAAAACCCGCCCCAGUUCAGAUUGGAGGCUGCAAUUCGCCUCCAUGAAGGUGGAAUCGCUAGUAAUCGCGGAUCAGCAACGCCGCGGUGAUACGUUCCUGAGCCUUGUACACACCGCCCGUCAAGCCACCCAAGCUGGAGCACCCGAAGUCCGGCGCC